rnacentral:rRNA from 1 species
CGUAUAGGGUGUGACGCCUGCCCGGUGCCGGAAGAUUAAAUGAUGGGGUGCAAGCUCUUGAUUGAAGUCCCGGUAAACGGCGGCCGUAACUAUAACGGUCCUAAGGUAGCGAAAUUCCUUGUCGGGUAAGUUCCGACCUGCACGAAUGGCGUAACGAUGGCCACACUGUCUCCUCCCGAGACUCAGCGAAGUUGAAGUGUUUGUGAUGAUGCAAUCUACCCGCGGCUAGACGGAAAGACCCCAUGAACCUUUACUGUAGCUUUGCAUUGGACUUUGAACCGAUCUGUGUAGGAUAGGUGGGAGGCUAUGAAACCGGAACGCUAGUUUCGGUGGAGCCGUCCUUGAAAUACCACCCUGGUUUGUUUGAGGUUCUAACCUUGGCCCGUGAUCCGGGUCGGGGACAGUGCAUGGUAGGCAGUUUGACUGGGGCGGUCUCCUCCCAAAGCGUAACGGAGGAGUACGAAGGUACGCUAGGUACGGUCGGAAAUCGUGCUGAUAGUGCAAUGGCAUAAGCGUGCUUAACUGCGAGACCGACAAGUCGAGCAGGUGCGAAAGCAGGUCAUAGUGAUCCGGUGGUUCUGUAUGGAAGGGCCAUCGCUCAACGGAUAAAAGGUACUCUGGGGAUAACAGGCUGAUACCGCCCAAGAGUUCAUAUCGACGGCGGUGUUUGGCACCUCGAUGUCGGCUCAUCUCAUCCUGGGGCUGUAGCCGGUCCCAAGGGUAUGGCUGUUCGCCAUUUAAAGAGGUACGUGAGCUGGGUUUAAAACGUCGUGAGACAGUUUGGUCCCUAUCUGCCGUGGGCGUUGGAUAUUUGAAGGGGGCUGCUCCUAGUACGAGAGGACCGGAGUGGACGAACCUCUGGUGUACCGGUUGUCACGCCAGUGGCAUCGCCGGGUAGCUAUGUUCGGAAGAGAUAACCGCUGAAAGCAUCUAAGCGGGAAACUCGCCUUAAGAUGAGAUAUCCCUGGGGACUAGAUCCCCUUGAAGGGUCGUUCGAGACCAGGACGUUGAUAGGUCGGGUGUGUAAGCGCAGUAAUGCGUUCAGCUAACCGAUACUAAUUGCCCGUAAGGCUUGAUCCUAUAACA